rnacentral:rRNA from 1 species
AGAGUUUGAUCAUGGCUCAGAUUGAACGCUGGCGGCAGGCCUAACACAUGCAAGUCGAACGGUAACAUUUCUAGCUUGCUAGAAGAUGACGAGUGGCGGACGGGUGAGUAAUGCUUGGGAACUUGCCUUUGCGAGGGGGAUAACAGUUGGAAACGACUGCUAAUACCGCAUAACGUCUACGGACCAAACGGGGCUUAGGCUCCGGCGCAAAGAGAGGCCCAAGUGAGAUUAGCUAGUUGGUAAGGUAAUGGCUUACCAAGGCAACGAUCUCUAGCUGUUCUGAGAGGAAGAUCAGCCACACUGGAACUGAGACACGGUCCAGACUCCUACGGGAGGCAGCAGUGGGGAAUAUUGCACAAUGGGGGAAACCCUGAUGCAGCCAUGCCGCGUGUGUGAAGAAGGCCUUCGGGUUGUAAAGCACUUUCAGUUGUGAGGAAAAGUUAGUAGUUAAUACCUGCUAGCCGUGACGUUAACAACAGAAGAAGCACCGGCUAACUCCGUGCCAGCAGCCGCGGUAAUACGGAGGGUGCGAGCGUUAAUCGGAAUUACUGGGCGUAAAGCGCACGCAGGCGGUUUGUUAAGCUAGAUGCGAAAGCCCCGGGCUCAACCUGGGAUAGUCAUUUAGAACUGGCAGACUAGAGUCUUGGAGAGGGGAGUGGAAUUCCAGGUGUAGCGGUGAAAUGCGUAGAUAUCUGGAGGAACAUCAGUGGCGAAGGCGACUCCCUGGCCAAAGACUGACGCUCAUGUGCGAAAGUGUGGGUAGCGAACAGGAUUAGAUACCCUGGUAGUCCACACCGUANACGCUGUCUACUAGCUGUUUGUGACUUUAAGUCG